rnacentral:rRNA from 1 species
GAAUGCUGACAUAAGUAACGAUAAAGCGGGUGAAAAGCCCGCUCGCCGGAAGACCAAGGGUUCCUGUCCAACGUUAAUCGGGGCAGGGUGAGUCGACCCCUAAGGCGAGGCCGAAAGGCGUAGUCGAUGGGAAACGGGUUAAUAUUCCCGUACUUGGUGUUACUGCGAAGGGGGGACGGAGAAGGCUAUGUUGGCCGGGCGACGGUUGUCCCGGUUUAAGCGUGUAGGUGUGUGUUCCAGGUAAAUCCGGUUCACUUUAACACUGAGGCGUGACGACGAGGCACUACGGUGCUGAAGCAACAAAUGCCCUGCUUCCAGGAAAAGCCUCUAAGCAUCAGGUAACAUCAAAUCGUACCCCAAACCGACACAGGUGGUCAGGUAGAGAAUACCAAGGCGCUUGAGAGAACUCGGGUGAAGGAACUAGGCAAAAUGGUGCCGUAACUUCGGGAGAAGGCACGCUGACACGUAGGUGAAGUGAUUUACUCAUGGAGCUGAAGUCAGUCGAAGAUACCAGCUGGCUGCAACUGUUUAUUAAAAACACAGCACUGUGCAAACACGAAAGUGGACGUAUACGGUGUGACGCCUGCCCGGUGCCGGAAGGUUAAUUGAUGGGGUCAGCGCAAGCGAAGCUCCUGAUCGAAGCCCCGGUAAACGGCGGCCGUAACUAUAACGGUCCUAAGGUAGCGAAAUUCCUUGUCGGGUAAGUUCCGACCUGCACGAAUGGCGUAAUGAUGGCCAGGCUGUCUCCACCCGAGACUCAGUGAAAUUGAACUCGCUGUGAAGAUGCAGUGUACCCGCGGCAAGACGGAAAGACCCCGUGAACCUUUACUAUAGCUUGACACUGAACAUUGAGCCUUGAUGUGUAGGAUAGGUGGGAGGCUUUGAAGUGUGGACGCCAGUCUGCAUGGAGCCGACCUUGAAAUACCACCCUUUAAUGUUUGAUGUUCUAACGUGGACCCGUUACCCGGGUUGCGGACAGUGUCUGGUGGGUAGUUUGACUGGGGCGGUCUCCUCCUAAAGAGUAACGGAGGAGCACGAAGGUUGGCUAAUCCUGGUCGGACAUCAGGAGGUUAGUGC